GUAAGGAAUUUUCCACAAUGAGCGAAAGCUUGAUGGAGCGACACAGCGUGCAGGAUGAAGUUCUUCGGAAUGUAAACUGCUGUUAUAAGGGAAGAAAAAAUAGAAUAGGAAAUGAUUUUAUCUUGACGGUACCUUAUUAGAAAGCGACGGCAAACUAUGUGCCAGCAGCCGCGGUAAUACAUAGGUCGCAAGCGUUAUCCGGAAUUAUUGGGCGUAAAGCGUCCGUAGGUUUUUUGCUAAGUCUGGAGUUAAAUGCUGAAGCUCAACUUCAGUCCGCUUUGGAUACUGGCAAAAUAGAAUUAUAAAGAGGUUAGCGGAAUUCCUAGUGAAGCGGUGGAAUGCGUAGAUAUUAGGAAGAACACCAAUAGGCGAAGGCAGCUAACUGGUUAUAUAUUGACACUAAGGGACGAAAGCGUGGGGAGCAAACAGGAUUAGAUACCCUGGUAGUCCACGCCGUAAACGAUGAUCAUUAGUUGGUGGAAUAAUUUCACUAACGCAGCUAACGCGUUAAAUGAUCCGCCUGAAUAGUAUGCUCGCAAGAGUGAAACUUAAAGGAAUUGACGGGAACCCGCACAAGCGGUGGAGCAUGUGGUUUAAUUUGAAGAUACGCGUAGAACCUUACCCACUCUUGACAUCUUCUGCAAAGCUAUAGAGAUAUAGUGGAGGUUAACAGAAUGACAGAUGGUGCAUGGUUGUCGUCAGCUCGUGUCGUGAGAUGUUAGGUUAAGUCCUGCAACGAGCGCAACCCUUUUCUUUAGUUACUAAUAUUAAGUUAAGGACUCUAGAGAUACUGCCUGGGUAACCAGGAGGAAGGUGGGGACGACGUCAAAUCAUCAUGCCUCUUACGAGUGGGGCAACACACGUGCUACAAUGGUCGGUACAAAGAGAAGCAAUAUGGUGACAUGGAGCAAAUCUCAAAAAACCGAUCUCAGUUCGGAUUGAAGUCUGCAACUCGACUUCAUGAAGUCGGAAUCGCUAGUAAUCGUAGAUCAGCUACGCUACGGUGAAUACGUUCUCGGGUUUU
rnacentral:rRNA from 2 species